rnacentral:rRNA from 1 species
CCUACGGGAGGCAGCAGUGAGGAAUAUUGGUCAAUGGGCGCGAGCCUGAACCAGCCAAGUCGCGUGAGGGAGGACGGCCCUACGGGUUGUAAACCUCUUUUGCCGGGGAGCAACGGGCGUCACGUGUGGCGCCACUGAGAGUACCCGGAGAAAAAGCAUCGGCUAACUCCGUGCCAGCAGCCGCGGUAAUACGGAGGAUGCGAGCGUUAUCCGGUUUUAUUGGGUUUAAAGGGUGCGUAGGCGGAUCGUUAAGUCAGGGGUAAAAUGGAGGGGCUCAACCCCUUCCAGCCAUUGAAACUGGCGCUCUUGAGUGGAAGAGAAGUAUGCGGAAUGCGUGGUGUAGCGGUGAAAUGCAUAGAUAUCACGCAGAACCCCGAUUGCGAAGGCAGCAUGCCGGCUUCCGACUGACGCUGAAGCACGAAAGCGUGGGGAUCGAACAGGAUUAGAUACCCGGGUAGUC